rnacentral:rRNA from 1 species
AGAGUUUGAUCAUGGCUCAGAGUGAACGCUGGCGGCAGGCCUAACACAUGCAAGUCGAGCGGCAGCACGGGUAGCAAUACCUGGUGGCGAGCGGCGGACGGGUGAGGAAUACAUCGGUAUCUGCCUCGUCGUGGGGGAUAACGUAGGGAAACUUACGCUAAUACCGCAUACGACCGAGAGGUGAAAGCGGGGGAUCGAAAGACCUCGCGCGAUGAGAUGAGCCGAUGUCGGAUUAGCUAGUUGGCGGGGUAAGAGCCCACCAAGGCGACGAUCCGUAGCUGGUCUGAGAGGAUGAUCAGCCACACUGGAACUGAGACACGGUCCAGACUCCUACGGGAGGCAGCAGUGGGGAAUAUUGGACAAUGGGCGCAAGCCUGAUCCAGCCAUGCCGCGUGGGUGAAGAAGGCCUUCGGGUUGUAAAGCCCUUUUGUCCGGGACGAAAUCGUACGGGUGAAUAUCCCGUGCGGAUGACGGUACCGGAAGAAUAAGCACCGGCUAACUUCGUGCCAGCAGCCGCGGUAAUACGAAGGGUGCAAGCGUUACUCGGAAUUACUGGGCGUAAAGCGUGCGUAGGCGGUUUGUUAAGUCCGCUGUGAAAGCCCUGGGCUCAACCUGGGAAUUGCAGUGGAUACUGGCAAGCUAGAGUGCGGUAGAGGAUGGUGGAAUUCCCGGUGUAGCGGUGAAAUGCGUAGAGAUCGGGAGGAACACCCGUGGCGAAGGCGGCCAUCUGGACCAGCACUGACGCUGAGGCACGAAAGCGUGGGGAGCAAACAGGAUUAGAUACCCUAGUAGUCC